GAGGAAUAUUGCGCAAUGGAGGCAACUCUGACGCAGCCAUGCCGCGUGCAGGAUGAAGGCGCUACGCGUUGUAAACUGCUUUUAACCGGGAAGAAACCCCAGGACGUGUCCUGGGUUGACGGUACCGGAGGAAUAAGCACCGGCUAACUUCGUGCCAGCAGCCGCGGUAAUACGAAGGGUGCAAGCGUUAUCCGGAUUCAUUGGGUUUAAAGGGUGCGUAGGCGGAGCGUUAAGUCAGUGGUGAAAUCCCGCAGCUCAACUGUGGAAUUGCCAUUGAUACUGGCGCUCUUGAGUGCGGUUGACGUGGGCGGAAUGUGCCGUGUAGCGGUGAAAUGCUUAGAUAUGGCACAGAACACCGAUCGCGAAGGCAGCUCGCGAAGCCGCAACUGACGCUGAGGCACGAAAGCGUGGGGAUCGAAC
rnacentral:rRNA from 1 species